UACGUAGGUGGCAAGCGUUGUCCGGAAUUAUUGGGCGUAAAGGGCUCGCAGGCGGUUUCUUAAGUCUGAUGUGAAAGCCCCCGGCUCAACCGGGGAGGGUCAUUGGAAACUGGGAAACUUGAGUGCGGAAGAGGAGAGUGGAAUUCCACGUGUAGCGGUGAAAUGCGUAGAGAUGUGGAGGAACACCAGUGGCGAAGGCGACUCUCUGGUCUGUAACUGACGCUGAGGAGCGAAAGCGUGGGGAGCGAACAGG
rnacentral:rRNA from 1 species